CGCCAUUUAUUGCGACAACCGCGCAUACCAAAAAUCACACGCAGUCGCACCGAUUUCCUUCGAAACAAAUCUAGAACACACAAAACGCGGCCGCGUCCAAUCCGACCCCAACUCGAGCUCCGCACGGGGUUCAGAUCGCCAAUCCUCCUAGCCUUCGUCUAACUCCAUUUGUGGCAAGUUUUUCUUCUAUUUAUGCCGGCCGGCAGCCGCAUCGCAUCGCGUUGAGGCAGAAGCAAGAAGCAGAGCAAGCAAGAUAACAACAGCAAGAACAG
rnacentral:lncRNA from 1 species